rnacentral:rRNA from 1 species
CCCUUAGAUGUUCUGGGCCGCACGCGUGCUACACUGAGUGGAUCAGCGGGUCAGGUUGCGCGAAAGCGUUUCCUAAUCUUUAAAUCCGCUCGUGAUGGGGAUUGACGGUUGCAAUUUUCUGUCAUGAACGAGGAAUACCUUGUAAGCGCGGGUCAUCAUCCCGCGCUGAAUACGUCCCUGCCCUUUGUACACACCGCCCGUCGCUCCUACCGAUUGAGUGGUCCGGUGAAAUCUUCGGACCGUGACUUUGAUUUGUUUACUCAAAACGCUGUUACGGGAAGUUGAUUAAACCUUACCAUUUAGAGGAAGGUGAAGUCGUAACA